CGGGCGCUCGCUUGCAGCCGCCGCCGCAACUUCUUGUACUGCCUCAGGCCUGCCAGGCUCAGCGUCCUCGUUCUCCUUCGCCUCCCAAGCUCCGCGUCCUCAUCCUCCUCCGCCUGCCGACGCCGCCGCUCCUGCCCGGAAGGUCGAUCUCGAGGCCUACGCCGGAUACGACUAGCUCCUCCGCGCGCUCCAGGACAAGUUCUUCUCCCACUUCACCAUCCGGAAGUUCCCACAUACGUGCUAAAUAAGCUGGCUGUUGGACGCAGUGAACGGGACGGAGUACGAGGACAAGGACGGCGACGUCCCCUAGAAGUGAGCUCCUUCAAACCGUUCUCCUACUUCCCCUAAUUCGUCGAUUAUUAUCACUGCAGUAAAAUAAUUGUGUCAAGAAAAUGCUAUUGGCGUAUUUUUGCACGCGGAAGUUGAUAGCUAUCGUUCUUAUUUAUGUCAAGAAAAUAAUUCUGCUCUAGUUUAAACCUUCUUUCUUAUAUGUUGCUAUUACCUAGGGAGCUUGUUAUCUAGCCUGUUACCUCAACAUGUCCGCAAACACAUCGGAAAGCUCUGAUGAUUCUCAUUCAACCCAAACACGUGUUAGAAGGUCCAAGUUUUGGGAAUACUUUGAACAGAAUUUAAUUGAAGCUGAUGAUAGUUUUAAAGCUGUGUGUGCAGGUAUUUUCAAAUCCAUUUAAGCACUAAGUCAGGAACCAGCAGGAACCAGCAGCCUUAGGACCUAUAUUUCUUAUUAUUGUUAUGUAAUUGGAGAAGCUGAGAGGAAAAAGUUUGUAGCAACCUUGAAGAAACCUAUAGAGAACUUCGUAUUUUAUAUUUCUACAUGGUUAUAACAACUUAUUAUAUCA